AAAAUGUCCAGGUAUCACAGUGUACAGUGUGCCAGAAAAAUAAAAAAGAUAUAAAGCUGAAGACAGACCUCAAACCUAUCAAGGUCAAGACUCCAUCCGAACUGGUUGAAAUAAACUUAAUUGGAAAGUUGGCCAAAUCUGACCAGGAAAAUCAGUAUAUAUGCGUGAUAAUAGAUUAUUACACGAGAUGGGCACAGGCAUAUCCUUUGAAAUCAAAGUCUGCUGCAGAAGUUACUCAAUCAAUAUUAAAAUUUGUUUACCAAUUUGAAGUGCCGAAACGAAUUUGAACAGAUUUUACUGAGUUUAUCAACACAGUAAGUAUAUUCUGCUUCACAAAUAUUUUUAUUUAUGAAAUGUUCUUUGUUUACAGUUUUAUGUAAAAUUACAAAAACCUAUGUUAACAUAUUAUGUAAAUAUUAAUACAUAUCUUCCGUAGAUCAACACUGAGGUCUGCAAAAUGCUUGGCAUAAAAAGAAGUCUUUGUGCCACAUACCACCCUCAGACCAACGGAUUGGUGGAGAGGCUCAAUGGCACUUUACAGAGGUGAAGAAUGCAUCCACAACAGUUAAUAAACAUAAUUACAGAAGAACUUUUCAAUCAAUGCAUGUUCCUAUUUUUUAAAUACAACAAAAGAGGUGAACGACACAAACACAAAAGAAUUUCACAGUGAAUCGCUGAAGCAUGAUCUGUGGACAGAAUAGUCCAAAUGUGAGAUUUUGGUCUCUAACAGAUGUAUGUUAUUUAA